UUACUCAUACACAAGGAGAGUGUCAGAAAGACAGUACAGAACAAAAGAGAAGUGGACCAGUUACUUGUACACAAGAAGAGUGUCAGAAAGAUAGUACAGUAUAAAAGAGAAGUGCACCUGUUAUUUGUACACAAAGAGAGAUUCAGAAAGAUUGUACUCUACAAAAGAGAAAUGCACCUGCUACUCGUACACAAGGAGAGGGCAAGAAAGAUAGUACAGUAGAAAAGAGAAGUACACCAGGUAAUU